CAAGAAAUAGUUUAAAUAAAACAUUAAUUUUGGAGGUUAAAAAUAUUAAUUUAUUUUCUUGA
rnacentral:tRNA from 1 species